AAAAGCGGAGGAAAAGAAACUAACAAGGAUUCCCCUAGUAACGGCGAGUGAAGAGGGAAAAGCCCAAAUUUGUAAUCUGGCUCUUUUAUAAGGGUCCGAGUUGUAAUUUUGAGAACUGUUUUCUGUGCUGGACCAUGUACAAGUCUGUUGAAAAACAGCAUCAUUGAGGGUGAUAAUCCCGUACGUGAUAUGGACUACCAGGGCAAUAUGAUACAGUCUCUAAGAGUCGAGUUGUUUGGGAAUGCAGCUCAAAGUGGGUGGUAAAUUCCAUCUAAGGCUAAAUAUAGGUGAGAGACCGAUAGCAAACAAGUACCGUGAGGGAAAGAUGAAAAGAACUUUGGAAAGAGAGUUAACAGUACGUGAAAUUGUUAAAAGGGAAACAUUUGAAGUUAGACUUGUUAUUGUUGGUUCAGCUUCUUUAUUGAGGUGUAUUCUGAUGAUUAACAGACCAGCAUCAAUUUUUGGGUGUUGGAUAAGGGUUUUGGGAAUGUGGCAGCUUCGGUUGUGUUAUAGACCAUUACUUUGAUACAAUGCUUAGGAUUGAGGAACGCAGUAAGCUUUGUUGCAGAUUUUUUCGGAAGUCUCCUUACUACGGAUGUUGGUGCAAUAGCUUUAAAUGACCCGUCU
rnacentral:rRNA from 2 species